rnacentral:rRNA from 1 species
UACGUAGGGUCCGAGCGUUGUCCGGAAUUACUGGGCGUAAAGAGCUCGUAGGUGGUUUGUCGCGUUGUUCGUGAAAACUCACAGCUUAACUGUGGGCGUGCGGGCGAUACGGGCAGACUGGAGUACUGCAGGGGAGACUGGAAUUCCAGGUGUAGCGGUGAAAUGCGUAGAUAUCUGGAGGAACACCGGUGGCGAAGGCGGCAUCCUGGACCGGUAUUGACGCUGAUGCGCGAAAGCCAGGGGAGCAAACGGG